AAUGUUUGGGUCAUUUGGAUGCUGAGGGAUGAGAUCAAUUGAUGAACAGUUCUUAGCUAGCUUUGUUUCUUGGCUUUGCAGUGUUGGAGGAGGCAUGACUGAAUGAACCAUUUCAUGCUGAUGAUUUCCUGAUGUAAGCUCACACUGCCCCUAAGAAGGUGGUAUUACCCUUGGUCUGUUGGGUUAGCUGGGGGGACCUGGGUGGAGCAUCUUUAUGAAAUUUCUUAUGUGCUCCUUAUAUGAACUGAAAGUCAUAUCACCUUUUAUUGUUUUGCAUUUGCACCUUAUAAUGCCAGUGUGCCACAUAGAACUAUUGAGCCACACAGCAUUGUGAUUUGUGGAAUGAUAUGGGUAAUGUUGAUAAAGGUAUCCAUUAUGCUACAACCUAUUUUAUGCAUUUUUAUGUUGAAAAGCACUGUUACUAAUGUGUUUGUAUUUUGCUAUAUUUUGAACCCUUUAGGAUAUGAACCUUACAUACAUGUCUAUUGAAUAACACUUUCCUUGCCCCGCAAAAAAAAGAAUAACGUUAACUUUUCUUGGGCUUAGUGAUUUCUAAGCUUUAUGGGAUUCACACUUUCUCUGUCGUGUGUUUCUGUAGUAGUACUUGCAUUUUUCUACCUACUGGUUCACAGGCGUUUAAAGGCUGGUCAACAAACAGUAACAUACCAUGACAAGAAUAACUAGGCUAUUGGUAUUUAGUUGUGAGAUAAUUUUCUGUAAAUAUAUGCAUUUUCAUUUUUUUUUGUCAAAUCCUUCUCUUUGCCUUCCUAGGUUAUGGAUAUUUAGAUAAUUUUCCAUUUUGAUGUCAAAUCCUUCUCUUUGCCUGACACAUUCAAAGAUGACUUUAUUUGAUGACUUUUUCAUGCUUACAUAGCUACUUAUGAUUGUUCUCCAAAGCACAGUAAAAUAUCGUUACAUCCAGAACAAAUUUGAUAUGCCAUGUCAUAAUUUCUGCAAGUUAAUCCAUACUUCUGCUUUAUAUUAAUAUAGAUUCUUGGGUUUUUAUCAGAAGUUGAAAGCAACGUUGAGAAUUCCACCGUUUAAUGUUCAAUGCCUAUUGACUCAAGGGGUUGUACACUACACUACACUAGAAGCACCUGUACAGAUCCGAUUGUGGCUGGGAGGACCAAGGAGAUUUAGUUGUUUGGUAACCUAUUGCACACAAAUACUCACUUUAAAAUCCUAAUACUUUUGGGGUGAUUUGUGUUUAAUUAGACAUUUUCAUGCAAACCUAAUCAUUUCUUGAGAAAUAAUUUAUGGUAGCACCUCCAUUGAUAAAAUUUACCGUUGGUGAUUUCUCAAUACUUGAGAAAUAAUCUAUAUAUUCUUUUAUUUUAGUCUGCAAUCUAUCUAAAAUUAACUUUUCAAAGAUACAUGAGCUACAUAUAUCCUCUACUAACAGUGCCACCUUGCAAAAAAAUCAG
rnacentral:lncRNA from 1 species